rnacentral:rRNA from 1 species
GACGAACGCUGGCGGCGUGCCUAAUACAUGCAAGUUGAGCGAUGAAGAUUGGUGCUUGCACCAAUUUGAAGAGCAGCGAACGGGUGAGUAACGCGUGGGGAAUCUGCCUUUGAGCGGGGGACAACAUUUGGAAACGAAUGCUAAUACCGCAUAACAACUUUAAACAUAAGUUUUAAGUUUGAAAGUUGCAAUUGCAUCACUCAAAGAUGAUCCCGCGUUGUAUUAGCUAGUUGGUGAGGUAAAGGCUCACCAAGGCGAUGAUACAUAGCCGACCUGAGAGGGUGAUCGGCCACAUUGGGACUGAGACACGGCCCAAACUCCUACGGGAGGCAGCAGUAGGGAAUCUUCGGCAAUGGACGAAAGUCUGACCGAGCAACGCCGCGUGAGUGAAGAAGGUUUUCGGAUCGUAAAACUCUGUUGGUAGAGAAGAACGUUGGUGAGAGUGGAAAGCUCAUCAAGUGACGGUAACUACCCAGAAAGGGACGGCUAACUACGUG